UUGCAUGUGUAAAUGCCUGCUCCUUAUUCCUUUAGGGGCCGGAAAACAUCUAUAACAUGCUACAUUAAAAAUUAAGGAAUUGUCAGGGCUGCCAACCUUACAGUAGAGGUUGAGUAGUAGUAUAAUUCUCCUACAGUC